rnacentral:rRNA from 1 species
UACGAAGGGGGCUAGCGUUGCUCGGAAUUACUGGGCGUAAAGCGCACGUAGGCGGCUUUCUAAGUCGGGGUGAAAUCCUGGAGCUCAACUCCAGAACUGCCUUCGAUACUGGAGAGCUUGAGUCCGGGAGAGGUGAGUGGAACUGCGAGUGUAGAGGUGAAAUUCGUAGAUAUUCGCAAGAACACCAGUGGCGAAGGCGGCUCACUGGCCCGGUACUGACGACUG